rnacentral:lncRNA from 1 species
GUUGUCUCUACCUAUGUGGCCCUAUCCCAGUUCUCCCAGAAUACGGGUGACAGGGACAAGUGGCUGCACUGUGAGCAGAUGGCCAUUCAGAAAAGCAGCCUAUGCUGGUUCUCCAGGGAGGGAUUGCUGGCCACAGCCCAGCUCAUGCAGGCCUUGGCCUACACCAAGCUCUGCCUCGGCCAUCUGGACUUCUCCAUCAAGCUGGGUAAUGGGGCUUGGCGCUGGUGGGCCUAAGGCUCUUAGAGAGGCCAAGUUCACCACUAGGCCUCACACAGUGCUCUUUCACCUCCUUAGGUUUUCAAGCUCAUGAGAUAUGCAGACACCUCAAGAAACCAGCUCUGGAGAAUCUGGUUCUCUCAGUUCUCUUCAGAUCUGCAUUUCUGAAGAAGAAAUUUGAUCUGUGUGUCCAUGUGCUGGAGCGUCAAUGGGUGCUCAUUUCCCACGGUCAUGAUGUCCUUGGCCUGGCCUGCUUCUAUUCUGCUUGCUUAGAUCUGCUGCUCUACGGAGAAGGAUUGCUGUGUCGGCCCUUUGGCGAGUGUCUGCAUUUCAUUCAACACUGUGAGCACAGCUGCAUUCUAAACUCUCAGAGUAAUGUCAUGCUGGGGGUCCACUCAUCUCUGGCCAUGUGGUUUGCCCAGGACUCCCAGUGGAAUCUCUUUGAGCACCACUUCUCCAAGGCUCGCCAGUUGGUGAAAAGAACCAAUGCCUCACUAUUUGGUUCACAUGGUUUUGUCCGAUUCCUGGAGUGCCAUGUGCUAAUGUUACAAAAAAUGCCAGACAGUGUCUUCAUGCACACUCUGCCAGAGACUUGCAGCCAAACCCUCAAGUACUGUAAGGAGUUCUUCUCUCGGUGUGUGACCUGCCCAGUCUAUCACCAGUGGGUCUCUGAGCUUAAAGCCUCUGUAAUGAGAUAUGGAAAGAGAGAAUCCAUGUCCUCGACUAACAUCAUCAGACCUUUUGACACCUGCUUGGCCAGGAUUUGGAUAGAGGGAGAAUACCUGGAGGAAAACCACUCCUUUGGAGGACAUUUAGGAAUACAGAGAUUUGACAGAAUGGCUGAUGUCAAGGAGAAUAAGAAUGAAGAAGAAAUUCAAGAAUGUACAUGUUAA